rnacentral:rRNA from 1 species
CAGUCGCCGCGGUAAUACAGAGGGUGCAAGCGUUAAUCGGAAUUACUGGGCGUAAAGCGCGCGUAGGUGGUUUGUUAAGUUGGAUGUGAAAGCCCCGGGCUCAACCUGGGAACUGCAUCCAAAACUGGCAAGCUAGAGUACGGUAGAGGGUGGUGGAAUUUCCUGUGUAGCGGUGAAAUGCGUAGAUAUAGGAAGGAACACCAGUGGCGAAGGCGACCACCUGGACUGAUACUGACACUGAGGUGCGAAAGCGUGGGGAGCAAACAGGAUUAGAUACCCACGUAGUCCCUGUCUCUUAUAC